UACAAAGUUGCUUCACCAUU
rnacentral:miRNA from 1 species